UGCGUGCAUCAGAUUCAGAGCAGAAAACGUUUGAAAAGAGUUGAUAGUCAUAUAAUAACCCACAGAAUGGUAAUAAACUGACAUAUUAAUCGUAUUUUACGACUUGGGACUUCAUCAGAUUAAAGGCUUUAAUUCACAAAUUAUUUCCUUGCAAAAAGAAUCUCAUAGAACAGAAAAUUAAUGAGAAUAAAUGAUACACUUGAAUACAGAAAAUCG
rnacentral:lncRNA from 1 species